GAAAAACACAGCCAGAUCCUUCCUCAUCUCAACAUAAAUUAAACCCAGAGGCAGUCAGCGCCACAGUCCACACUCGUAACCGUUACACUCACCUGGAAAUAAAAGUAUUUUUGUGCGGGGACUGCAAGGACUAAGCCCGGCCGCACUCCGAGUUUCUCCUCCUCACAGACUGGAUGAUGAGAGGCACAGCUGAGUCCGGAGCAGACUGAGCCACCUAAGAGGGGAGGAACCGCUGCAGAGAAACCGUGUUAAGCCUUUUUGAAGUUCCAGAGGGAGAACAAGAGAGCGGAGGCUCCUGGUGGCUGGUGACAGGUGCUGAUUUGUUCUGGGGAAAGAGCACAGAAAAGUGCCUGGAGAGGAGGCGGGGCCAAAAUGGGAUGUAGGCGAUGGGAAGGACCCUCAAGACACAGUCCUGGGCUCCCAGGCAGGACCAACCCCCAAACCUGUCCCCCCAGGAGCCUGCAGAGCCACUGCCCUGACAGGGGACACCUCACUUCCUCUCCUUGCAGCUGCUCUUGGCUGGGAGAGCAGAGAACAGGGGACAGGAGAGAAGCCCCGAGAGUACUGAAGCUGAGGCUGGGGCGGUCUUCACUUCCCUCUUUCCUCGGCCCUUUUCCUGUUCUCUUGUCUUGUCUCUCUUUCUCUACUUUCCUUCUCCCUAGCCCAGUCUCUCACCGCUCUUCAGCCUCUGGGCCUUUCCUUCUUCCUCUCUUGCCC
rnacentral:lncRNA from 10 species